rnacentral:antisense_RNA from 2 species
CUUGAUCGAACCCAACCACAACGGCUGCUCACGAUCCUGCCCGUACGUGGCCAGCAACGCCUGGGCCUC